UACGUAGGGUGCGAGCGUUGUCCGGAAUUAUUGGGCGUAAAGAGCUCGUAGGCGGUCUGUCGCGUCGGCUGUGAAAUCCCGGAGCUCAACUCCGGGUCUGCAGUCGAUACGGGCAGACUGGAGUUCGGCAGGGGAGACUGGAAUUCCUGGUGUAGCGGUGAAAUGCGCAGAUAUCAGGAGGAACACCGGUGGCGAAGGCGGGUCUCUGGGCCGAUACUGACGCUGAGGAGCGAAAGCGUGGGGAGCGAACAGG
rnacentral:rRNA from 1 species